GAUGAACGCUGGCGGCGUGCCUAAUACAUGCAAGUCGAGCGAACGGACGAGAAGCUUGCUUCUCUGAUGUUAGCGGCGGACGGGUGAGUAACACGUGGAUAACCUACCUAUAAGACUGUGAUAACUUCGGGAAACCGGAGCUAAUACCGGAUAAUAUUUUGAACCGCAUGGUUCAAAAGUAAAAGACGGUCUUGCUGUCACUUAUAGAUGGAUCCGCGCUGCAUUAGCUAGUUGGUAAGGUAACGGCUUACCAAGGCAACGAUGCAUAGCCGACCUGAGAGGGUGAUCAGCCACACUGGAACUGAGACACGGUCCAGACUCCUACGGGAGGCAGCAGUAGGGAAUCUUCCGCAAUGGGCGAAAGCCUGACGGAGCAACGCCGCGUGAGUGAUGAAGGUCUUCGGAUCGUAAAACUCUGUUAUUAGGGAAGAAAAUAUGUGUAAGUAACUGUGCACAUCUUGACGGUACCUAAUCAGAAAGCCACGGCUAACUACGUG
rnacentral:rRNA from 1 species